CGUAGGGGCAAGCGUUGCCCGGAUUUAUUGGGCGUAAAGAGCGUGUAGGCGGCCAGGUAGGUCGGUUGUGAAAACUCGAGGCUCAACCUCGAGAUGUCGACCGAAACCAUCUGGCUAGAGUCCGGAAGAGGAGAAUGGAAUUCCCGGUGUAGCGGUGAAAUGCGCAGAUAUCGGGAAGAACACCCGUGGCGAAGGCGGUUCUCUGGGACGGUACUGACGCUGAGACGCGAAAGCGUGGGGAGCGAACAGGAUUAGAUACCCUGGUAGUCCACGCCGUAAACGAUGGGAACUAGGUGUGGGCGGUGUCGACUCCGUCCGUGCCGAAGCUAACGCAUUAAGUUCCCCGCCUGGGGAGUACGGCCGCAAGGCUA
rnacentral:rRNA from 1 species